rnacentral:rRNA from 1 species
UACAGAGGUCCCGAGCGUUGUUCGGAUUCACUGGGCGUAAAGGGUGCGUAGGUGGCAUGUUAAGUUUGAUGUGAAAGCUCAGGGCUCAACCCUGAAAUGGCAUUGAAUACUAGCGUGCUGGAGGUUUGGAGGGGGGACUGGAAUUCUCGGUGUAGCAGUGAAAUGCGUAGAUAUCGAGAGGAACACCAGUGGCGAAGGCGAGUCCCUGGACAACACCUGACACUGAGGCACGAAAGCGUGGGGAGCAAACAGG